ACCUGGGUGGCUCAGUCGGUUGGGCGUCUGACUUCAGCUUAGAUCAUAAAUUCUCAGUUCAUGGGUUCGGGCCCCAUAUCAGGCU
rnacentral:tRNA from 1 species